rnacentral:rRNA from 1 species
GACGAACGCUGGCGGCGUGCUUAACACAUGCAAGUCGAACGGAAAGGCCCUGCUUGCCGGGUACUCGCGUGGCGAACGGGUGAGUAACACGUGGGUGUUCUGCCCUGCACUUCGGGAUAAGCCUGGGAAACUGGGUCUCAUACCGGAUAGGAGCCCUUUUUAGUGUGAUGGUUGGAAAGUUUUUUCGGUGUAGGGUGAGCUCGCGGCCUAUCAGCUUGUUGGUGGGGUAAUUGCCUACCAAGGCGGCGGCGGGUAGCCGGCCUGCGAGGGUGGACGGCCACAUUGGGACUGAGAUACGGCCCAGACUCCUACGGGAGGCAGGAGGGGGGAAUAUUGCACAAUGGGCGCAAGCCUGAUGCAGCGAAGCCGGGUGGGGGAUGACGGCCUUCGGGUUGGAAACUCCUUUCGCUAGGGACGAAGCUGUGUGUGACGGUACCGAGAGAAGAAGCACCGGCUAACUACGUG